GGAGAUGUGGCUGAGUGGCUGAAAGCGGCAGUUUGCUAAAUUGUUGAGGAUCAAAAGUCUUCCACAGGUUCGAAUCCUGUCAUCUCCGCCA
rnacentral:tRNA from 1 species